rnacentral:rRNA from 1 species
GAGUGAAGAAGGUUUUCGGAUCGUAAAGCUCUGUUGUAAGAGAAGAACGAGUGUGAGAGUGGAAAGUUCACACUGUGACGGUAUCUUACCAGAAAGGGACGGCUAACUACGUGCCAGCAGCCGCGGUAAUACGUAGGUCCCGAGCGUUGUCCGGAUUUAUUGGGCGUAAAGCGAGCGCAGGCGGUUAGAUAAGUCUGCUGUCAAAGACCGGGGCUUAACUUCGGAAAGGCAGUGGAAACUGAACAGCUAGAGUAUGGUAGGGGCAGAGGGAAUUCCUGGUGUAGCGGUGAAAUGCGUAGAGAUCAGGAAGAACAUCGGUGGCGAAGGCGCUCUGCUGGACCAUAACUGACACUCAGGGACG